CCAUGUGCUACGGGUUGGAUCAAAUAUGGAAGCUCACCACGAAGUUUCCAAGUAAGAUCCUACAUAAUUGGAUGGUUACCAUUAGUACCUACCUCUGAAUCUACACGAAGAUGUGCAAAAGUAUGGUAUGAAUACAAAAUAUGUUACGUUGUACGUAUGAAGUCUAGCCUUGAAGAAGUAGUGUCAGUGGUCGAUAUUGAUACUUACUAAAAGUCCAAUAAACAUGUGAGAGAGUAAAUAAGAUAUGAUUAAAAUAUGGCUCCUCCAAAUAAAUGUAAAAGAUAAGGAACAGUAAAUAUGAAAUUUAGACAUGCUUUUCAGCUAAAGAGAUCAAAACAAAGUCAAAUACGUCAAUUCUUUAAUAAAACAUGAUGUGUAUUAAUCAACAAUUAAAUAAGAGGAAUGCAUGAGUCUAACAUGUAUAUGCAUGAUUAUAACCCCCUCUCAAUAUCUCACAACACAAAUCCAUGUGACCGACACAUGCCACAUGUCCAAACCAAGAACUAAAUGUGUUCUGACGCUAACAGGGCCCAAAGUAACAUAGGUAAUCACCUGACUCUGGAGGGAUGGAUACAUAUCAAAGCGUAAAUCAUAUCACAAUUAAUUAUCAAAAAUAAAUAUUCGCUCACAGUGUCCUUAGUACAAAAUGUUUUAACUUUCCUCAAUAUCCCACUCUCCAAACUCAUACAUAUGCGAAUAUAUGUAAUGACCCGGCUGGUCGUAUUGAGUAUUAUAGCCCCAUUCCCCCAUUGUUUUCUUAUACUCUACUAAUUUGUUGUUAUGUGACUCCUCGGGAUGGUUGGUUUAGUUUCGGGAAUGUUUCUGAAUGAAUUGGGACACUUAGUUCCAAGGCUGGAAGCCUAAAAGGGAAGAGUUGAUCGGAUGUUGACUUGUGUGUAAACGGUUCCAAAAUGGAGUUUUGAUGGUUCUGAUAGCUCCGUAGGGUGAUUUUGGACUUAAUAUUGUGUUCGGAUAUUGAUUAGGAGGUCCGUAGAUGAUUUUAGCUUAAAUUGGCAAAAGUUGGAAAAAUAAAAGUUUGGAGAGUUGAGAAGUUUGAUCGAGAGUUGACUUUGUUGUUACCGCACUCGGAUUUUGGUUUCGGAAGUUGGAAUAGGUCCGUUGUAUCAUUUAUGACUUGUGUACAAAAUUUGAGGUUACCCGGAGUUGGUUGGGUAUGUUUUGGCACUAGUCUUGGAAGUUAGAAGUUCAUAAGUUCAUUAGGCUUGAAUCGAAGCGCGUUUCAUGGUUGUAAUGUUAUUUGAUGUGAAUUUACACUUAUGAUGUUUUAGGACUUGUCGGUGUGUUUGGUUGAGGUCCUAGGGGCCUCGGGUGUGACUCGGAUUAUGUUCGGGGCAUUUUGAACCUUGAAGAAUUGCUGAUUUUUCUGUUGUUGGUUUCCUUGUACGCGUUAGCGAGAGGGAUAUCGCAUUCGCGAAGAGUAUUUGGGAGGCAGGUCAAGAUUUUUCUUCGUGUUCACAAAGAGGGCGCCGCAUCCGCGAAGAAGAGAGGCAGGUUGGGGGACCUCACGUGUUAGGUCUAUGCAUUCACGGUGGAGGCUUCGCGUUCGCAAAGCUUGGGAUCAGUUGGUCAUCGCAUUCGCGAGGGAGCUCUCGCAUUUGCAUAAGAGGAUUUUUUGGCAGUUGAGUUUUGUUCUCCGCGAAUGCGAGGCACUUUCCAUGUUCGUGAAGAAGGUCAUCUAGGCAGAAUAUAAGAUUUCAAAAACGAGGUUAGAGUAAAAUUUUAUAAUUGGACUUUGGGAGCUCGGAUUGAGGCGAUUCUUGGUGGGAUUUUUAAGGAAUUGAUUGGGUUAAGUGAUUAUAACUCGGAUUUGGUCAAUAUACAUGAAUCUAUCAUUUUGUUUAUCAUUUUAUUAGUUUUUGGGUUGGAAAAAUUGGGGAAAUUUGUAGAAACUUCAUAGGCUUUAAUUUGAGGAUUUGAAUGUCGAGUUGUGAUCGGAAUUGAGUAAUUUUGGUUUGGUUGGACUCGUGGUUAAAUGAAUGUUCGGAUGUUGUUACUUUUGUCGAAUUACAAGACGUGGGCCUGGGUAGACCUUUUGAGUUGACUUUUUGACUUUUAUUAAAGAACUUAGCUUUAUCAUAUGGAAUUGAUUCCUAUAGCUUGUGUUGAUUGUAUUGAGUUGUUUGUGUCUAGAUUAGAGGCGUUUGGAGGCCGAUUUGCAAGACAAGGGCUUGUUGGAUUAGAGAUUUUCACGGAUUGAGGUAAGUAACACUUCUAAACAUAGUUUUGAGGGUAUGAAUCCCUGAAUUACGUGUUAUGUGGUUGGUGUUGAGGUGAUGCACAUGAUACGUGAUGGGCGUGUGGGCGUGCAGCUUAGGAAUUGUGACUCGGUCGAUUCCGUGGAACUGUGUAGUCAUAUAAUCUUAAAAUUAUCCACGUAUUCUCCAUGUGUUAGAAAUCAUGUUGUGACUCAUGUUAGAAAUCAUGCUUAGGCUAUAUGCUAGUACUUUUGCGACCCACGGAGGUCGUGUAAUUGUGGAAUUACUUUCUUAAUUUGAAAUUAUGUAUUCAGUCACAUCUAUCAUUUGUAUAUCAUAUCUCAGUCUCUGUUGCCAUUUAUUGAUAGAUCAUGUCAUCAUUGUUUGGGCUGAUUGUCAUGAUAUUUGUGAGCCCAAGAGACUGGAGAGAUUGAUGACUGAGUGGGGCCGAGGGCCUGAUUAUGAGUUAUGUUUAUGGGAUCGGGCUGCACGUCGUAGAAGGCUUUAUUGAUUCAAGCCAUAAUUGGCUUAUAAUAGCGAUUGGUCAGGAUCUGCCCUCCGAAGUCUGACUCACCAGCAGUGAGCACAGGUACCUACCGAGUGACUGUGAGGAUUGGGAGGAUUGAGUGACUGUGAAGACUGAGUGAUAAUGAGGAUUGAGUGACAAUGAUGAUUGAGUGACUGGGAGGACUGAGUGAAUUGAUACUCCAAGAGUAUGCAUAUGACUUUAUCACUGUGUUGCAUUACAGUUGGCAUGCAUAAUUGACAUGUAGAUAUAGUGAUGUAUCAUCCCUCAUUUCAGUCACACUUGGCAUAUUUUAUCCGUGUUGAACUUAAAUUGUUAAACUUGAGAGCAUGUCUACAUUUCUAUACUAUUUAAAUCUGUAUUUGGAUUGUACCUAUCUCAAUUCAUCACUGCAUUAGACCAAGGUUAAUCUUCUUACUUAUUGAGUAUAUUGGGUUGGUUGUACUCAUACUACACUCUGCACUUCGUGUGCAGAUCCAGGUACUUCCAAGUACGAUGGUUGCUAGCUUUGGAGCUUUACCUGUUGAAGACUAUCGAGGUAGCUGCCUUGGCGUCCGCAGACCUUGACUCUCCUUCUUUUCAGUUAUUGAACAGUUCUAUCUUUCUAGAUAGUGUUUUUAGUAGUCAGACUAUGUUGUCAUUUAGAUGAUCAUGUACUCAGUGACACCCGGAGUUUUAGGGAUUUUGUAUUGAAUUGCGGGGUUUUCUUAUCAGUUAUUAGGAGAUUUUCACUAUUUAAGCUUGUUUCAGUAUGUUUUAAAUUAAAGAUGCAUGUUUAUUUGUGAGUUGUCGACUUGCCUAGUAUUGCGAUAGGCACCAUCACGACAUGUGAGAUUUUGGAUCGAGACAAGUUGGUAUUAGAGCUUAGGUUAAAUAGGUCUCACGAGUCAUGAGCAGGUUUAGUAGAGUCUUGCGGAUCAGUACAGAGACGUCUGUACUUAUCUUCGAGAGGUUACCGAACCAUUUGGAAAGCUUCACUUUCUUGUAUUCAUGUCAUGCGAAUUUGUUGAUUCCGAAAACUAAACUUCUAUUAUUCUAUUCUCUCAUAGAUUGUGAGGACACGUGCUACCGAAUCAGGUGGAUGGCCACCAGUACCACCAGCUAGGGCCAUGAGAGGUCAGGGUCGCGAUAGAGGCAGUGGUGCAGCUCGUACAAUAGCUAGAGCAGGACUUGUAGACCCACCAGUUUCUCCAGCUCAGGAGCAGAUUCUAGAUGAGGUUGAGCCGGUGGGACCAACUCAGGCACCAGCUAUGCCCAUUUUGAUUCCAGGCCUUCAAGAGGCUCUAGUCUAGAUAUUUACUGUUUGCACUAGCAAUGCUCAGGCAAUUUCAGUUCCGGCCGCACCAGCCACUUCUCUGGCCGGGGGAGACACUCAGACUCCCGCCGCUUGUACUCCAAAGUAGGUGGUGUAGAGACUUUAGACAUCGGGGGUACUACCAGCCCAGCUAGUUACAGUUGCUCAGGCUUAAGUGGGUCCUAUUAUGGGUGAUAAGGAGCAAAUGAGACUAGAGAGGUUUGGGAGGCUCAGGCCUCCAUCAUUUAGUGGGGCUGAGUCAUAUUUGGAUAAGUGCCAGCGGAUUCUUCAUACGACUGGUAUUAUGGAAACUAGUGGGGUCUCAUUUCCUACUUUUCAGCUAAUGGGGUAGCCUUCAGAUGGUGGGAGGCCUGUGAGCGGAGCAGGUCAGCCGGUGCUGCACCACUUUCAUGGAACGAGUUCUCCGUUCUCUUCUUGGUGAAGUUUGUGCCACCGACCCAAUACGACCCGACGUCAUUCUGAGUAUUAUAUCCCCGUUCCCCUAUUUAUUUCUUAUAUUGUGCUCAUUUUUGUUAUGUGACUUUCCGGGGUGGUUGGUUUAGUUCUAGGAAUGUUUUGGAAUGAAUUGGGAUACUUAGUCCCAAGGCUGGAAGCCUAAGUGAAAAGAGUUGGCCGGAUGUUGACUUAUGUGUAAACGGCUCCGGAAUAGAGUUUUGAUGGUUCUGAUAGAUCUGUAGGGUAAGUUUGGACUUAGGAGUGUGUCCGGAUAUUGAUUUGGAGGUCCAUAGAUGAUUUUGGCUUGAAUUGGCAAAAGUUGGAAAAAUAGAAGUUUAGAGAGUUGAGAAGUUUCACCGAGAGUUGACUUUAUUAUUACCAGACUUGGAUUUUGGUUCCAGAAGUUGGAAUAGGUUCAUUGUGUCAUUUAUGACUUGUGUGCAAAAUUUGAGGUUGCUCGGACUUGGUUUGGUAUGUUUCGUCGUUAGUAUUGGAAGUUAGAAGUUCAUAAGUUCAUUACGCUUGAAUCGAUGCACGAUUCGUGAUUGUAGUGUUGUUUGAUUUGUCUUUAUGCUUCAAGAGAGUUUGUAUGAUAUUUUAGGACUUGUUUAUAUGUUUGGUUGAGGUCCCAUGGGCCUCGGGUGUGAUUCAGAUCAUAUUCGCCACAUUUUAAACCUUGAAGAACUGUUGGUUUUUCUGUUGCUAGUUUCGUUGUACGCGUUCGCGAAGAUUAUCUGGGAGACAGGUGAAGAUUGUUCUUCGCAUUCGUAGAGAGGGCACCGCGUCCGCGAAGAAGAGAGGCAGGCUGGGGAACCUCACGUGUUAGGUCUACGUUUCGCGAUGGAGGCUUUACGUUCGCGAAGCUUGGGAUCGUUUGGUCAUCGCAUUCGCGAGGGGGCUCUCGCAUUCGCAUAAGAGGAUUUUUGGGCAGUUGAGUUUUGUUCUUCGCAAACGCGAGGCACUUUCCGUGUUCGUGAAGAAGGUCAUCUGGGCAGAAUAUAAAAUUUCAAAAAUGUGGGUUAGAGUAAAAUUUCAUAAUUGGAAUUUGGGAGCUCCGAUUGAGGCGAUUCUUGGUGGGAUUUUCAAGGAAUUAAUUGGGGUAAGUGAUUCUAACUCGGGUUUGGUUAAUGUACAUGAAUCUAUCAUUAUUUUUAUCAUUUAAUUAGUGUUUUGGGUUGGACAAAUUGGAGAAAUUUUUAGAAACUUCAUAUGCUUUAAUUUGAGGAUUUGAAGCUAGACUUGUGAUCGGAAUUGAGUAAUUUUGGUAUGGUUGGACUCGUGGUUGAAUGAGUGUUUUGAUUUUGUUAAUGUUUUUGGAUUCCGAGAUGUUGGCCAGGGUUGACUUUUUUGUUGACGUUUUGACUUUUGUUAAAGAACUUAGCUUUAUCAUAUGGAAUUGAUUCCUAUAGCUUGUCUUGAUUCUAUGGAGUUGUUUGUGGAUAGAUUCGAUGUGUUUUGAGGAAGAUUCGCGAGGAAAGGGAUUGUUGGAGUAGAGAUUUGCAUGUAUUGAGGUAAGUAACACUUCUAAACAUGGUUCUGAAGGUAUGAAUCCCUGAAUUACGUGUUAUAUGGUUGGUGUUGAGGUGACGCACAUGCUAGGUGACGGGCGUGUGGGCGUGCACCGUAGGAAUUGUGACUCGGUCGAUUUUGUGGAACUAUGUAGUCAUAUAAUCUUGUUAUUAUCCACGUAUUAUCCAUGUGUUAGAGAAAUUGAGUUGUGAUUCAUGUUAGAAAUCAUGCUUAGGCUAUAUGUUAGUACUGCUGGGACCCACAGAGGUUGUGUUUUUCUUGAAUUGCUUGCUUAAUUUGAAAUUAUGUAAUCAGUCACAACUAUCAUUUUCAUAUCAUAUCUCAGUCUUUAUUUCCAUUUAUUGAUACAUCAUAUCAUCAUUUUUUGGGCUGAUUGACAUGAUAUUUGUGAGCCUGAGAGACUGGAGAGAUUGAUGACUGGGUAAGGCCGAGGGCCUGAUUGUGAGUGAUGUUUAUGGGAUCGGGCUGCAUGUCGCAGCAGGCUUUAUUGAUUCAUGCCAUGAUUGGCUUAUUUUAGCGCUUGGGUAGGAUCCGCCCCUCCGGAGUCUGACUCACCAGUAGUGAACAUAGGUACCUACUGAGUGCGAGUGUCGAGUGAUUGGGAGGACUAAGUGACUGUGAGGAUUGAGCGACUGGGAGGACAGAGUGAAUUGAUACUCCGAGAGUAUGCAUAUGACUUUAUCACUGUGUGACAUUACAAUUAGCAUGCAUAAUUGACAUGUAGAUAUAGUGAUGUAUCAUCCAUCAUUUCAGUCACACUAGGCAUAUUUUAUCUGUGUUGAACCUAAAUUGUUAAACUUGAGAGCAUGUCUAAAUUUCUAUAAUGUUUAAAUCUGUAUUUGGACUGUACCUGUCUGAGCUCAUCACUGCUUUCAGCCCAAGGUUAAUCUUGUUACUUAUUAAGUAUAUUGGGUCGGUUGUACUCAUACUAUACUCUGCACUUCGUGUGUAGAUCCAGAUACUUACGAGUACGGUGGCUGCUAGCUUUGGAGCUUUACCUGUUGGAGACUAUCGAGAUAGCUGCCUUGGCGUCCGCAGACCUUGACUCUCCUUCUUUAUAGUUAUUGUAUUGUUCUAUCUUUCUAGACAGUGUUUUUAGCAGUUAGACUAUGUUAUCAUUUAGAUGCGCAUGUACUCAAUGACACCUAGAUUUUGAGGGAUUUUGUAUUGAGUUUGCGGUGUUUUCUUGUAAGUUAUUACGAGAUUUUCACUAUUUAAGCUUGUUUCGGUAUGUUUUAAAUUAAAAUAUGUGUUUAUUUAUAAAUUGUCGACAUGCCUAGUAUUGCUAUAGGCGUUAUCACGACAUGUGAGAUUUUGGGUCGUGAUAAUAAAAUAAUAAAAUUAAGAUACACUAGGACUUACAAAUAAAAUACGGAUGAAUAUUUACAUGGAUAAGAGAUGUCUACGGCUAAUCAUAUAAUUCAACUUUUCAUAAUAGUUCAAUAUGAUUAUUCAAUAUUCAUAAGUCUAUUCAUGAUAUCUAACAUGAGUAAAAUAAGUCAAUUAGCCACUAAAUCAUAUAUGAAAUAAAGCAUGUGUAUGACUACGUCUAAUUAGAAAGCUAAAUAUGGUUAAAGAAGCCCUUCAUUACCAAAUCAAUAAUCCAUAACCCUAAGCAUAGUUUCUAACCAUAGUUAAGAUCCACCACGCAGUCAUAACAUCCAAGAAACAUAGAUAAUCAAUUCACACAAUCCAAUUAAGGCAUACUACAAGCCUAAUUCUACCAAGACAAGGUCAUAGCCUAGCUAACGCAUAUACGCUUGUCAUCUCACAUAUACGUAGCUCCCAAAUCAAGCAAUAAGUAGAAAAUAGAUCACCUAUGGAGAGAAUUUUCUCUUAUUAGACAAUAUGCCUUAUCUCCAGUUGGGAACACCUUCAACCUUCGAAAACCGCUUUUCCUUUCAAUUCCACCACCAAACUUCUCGAAUCUAGCUAAAUAUUACUUAAAUGAGUCAAUACAAACUUUAAGAAUUGAUUUAUUAUCAAAAAGGUUCAAUCUUUAACCCAAAUAAAAAAACCAACAAAACAUCAACCUCGGGCAUUAGGCCCAUAAUUAAAAUUGAUCAUAGAUAUAUAUUACCUAUAACACCACGAGUUCAAAUAUAUAAUUAGACUCUAAAUCAAGUUCCAAUUUCAUGUUCAAACCCCCCUAAUUCAUUCUCUUAAGAGCAUACCAAAAUUCAAAUUUCUACACUUUAAAUCCUUGAUUUUCGGGUAAAAAGUCCAUGUAGUUUCUUGAAAUAUAACCACAAAUAAGUAAAAAUCACUUACUCUCUUGCGUUUGGUGAAAAUCUUCUUGCAAAUCGCCCCUCUUGAAGUCUAGGGUUCAAAAUAUGAGAGAAUGGGAAAACAUACCGAAAUUUAGACUUAAAAUACCCCUACUAGCACUACCCUUUGCGAACAUGACCUCAGCUUUGCGUUUGCAAAAUACAACAUCCACUGCCUGUGUCAUGACCCAGAACCAUCAUCUGGUCGUGAUGUUUCUUAACUCACUUGCUAGGGAAGCCAAGCAUAAUAAUAACAAUUCAAUAUAAUGAAUUACAAAAUAAUACAAGUCUAAAAGCCAAUACCAUAAAUAAAACUGAAUUAUUACAAUAAAUCUCCCAGAACUAGCAAUACAAAGUCAUGAGCUCUACACUAGGAAUACACGUCUAAUAAUAUAUAAAAAUAUUGUUUGGACAAAAACAAUAUUACAUAAAUAGAAAGAGACGUCAAGGACUUGUACAAAGUGCAUCUCUACCUCAUCUCACAUCAACUCAACAACAAUCCAGAAAAGCUCUCAGUUGGGUCCCAUACCUGGAUCAGCACAAUUAAGUGCAGAGUUUAGUAUGAGUAUAACUCACCCCACGUACUCCGUAAGCAGCAUGACUAACUUUGGAGAGGAAGUCGCAAGAAUCAUCAAUGAUACUCACGUUAUAAAAUCUGUACAAGUCAUGAAUACAUACGAAUACAUAGUAACAAUACCAGAAUUUGUCUACAACUGCAAGUAACUCAUGGUGCAUGAUAAGUUGGUAUUUUACCAACUUAUCUCGUCUUUAAACUUAGAUUUUUGCUAUGUUUGAUUCAUAAAAUCAUGUUUGUAAUGCCGUUUACUUCUAUUUUACAGGUUCUAUGUGAUUUAUAAGUGAUCAUGAAAAAACUAAGUGAAAACGAGUCAAAGAGAAGUUGAAAAGAAGAAAUCUGGAAAAUGGCAUCAGAUGUCGCAAUUGCGACAUCAACUUGGCAAAUGCAAAGUCAACCAUUCCAGUCAAUGUUCACAAAUGCAAAAUGAGGGUCGCAAAUGCGAAUUCAAACCAAACAGUCAACUUUCGCAAAUGCGAAGCACUUCAUCGCAAAUGCGAAACUAAGUGCACAGUGCCUAGUUCGCAAUUGCCAACAUACAGAUCGCAAAUGCGAUGUUCAACAAUGAUGUCAAGGUUCGCAAUUGUGAACUUAUAUUCGCAAUUGCAAAUGUCGUGCUUUAAAGUAUGGAUUAAAUACCUUGUUGUGCUUGUGUAUUGAAUGAUUUUUAUUUAUUAUGAACUGAGUUAUUAUUUCGUUAAUUAUUCUUGUUCUUUAAUGUUUCCAAAAGGAUUAGCUAACCCUAAGACUCGCAUAUUCACUUCGAAUUAAUUUUGGGAAAAAUAAUUCGGGGUUGGGAAAGAUUAAUUAACAAGAACUUGAGGCAUUAAUCCUCACUUUAUAGAUUCUACCUAUGAAUAGGAUUGAACUACUUAUAGCCAUAUUCGGGUGUGCCUAAUCUCUUAAUUAUUUUAGCGAUAAUUCAAUUAUGAAGUCUUGUUAGUCUUCGGAAGAAGUUAAUAUAAAAUUAUUACCCGAGGCUAAUUAACAUAAACUCGCUCAUAUUUGUAAAAUCGUGAAAUAUAUUGGAUCGUUACUUGAGUGUAAUUCCAAAUGCAUCCAUGAUUAUCGCCAUUGAUCAUUUUACUUGCUUUCUAGGUUAGUUUAUAUUUUCACAAUUAGUUAUAAAUAUUUUCUCAAUUACCUUUUAAGUGUUUGGCUUAGCAUAACAAGUGAUAAUUCUCUUACACUCCUAAUCGCAUAUAUAUUGUACUCUGUGGGAUUCGACCCCGACUCAUAGUUUUGUAAAUUAUAUUGCAUGUGACCGUGUUCAUUUACUUUUAAGUAGUGGAUUUGGACGUCAUCAAAAUUGGUGUCGUUGCCGUAGAACUAACUCGGGUCACCUGCGUGACAGGCGGGAAUACUUACCACUAUAGAGUAUUCCCGCCUGUCACGCGGGUGACUCGGGUUCGUUCCCCAAAAAUGGCACCAAUUUUGAUGACGUUCAAAUCCACUACUAAAAAUUAAAUGGACACGGUCGCAUGCAAUAUAAUUUGCCCAACUAUGAGUCGGGGACGAAUCCCAUCGAGAACAAUAUGUAGGUGAUUAGGCGUGUAAGAGAAUUAUCACUUUUCUCUCUACUUGGAUGAUAUGAACUGGACACCUAACUUGGAAUCAAGUUUGUAACCAUGAGAGGUUGGAGGUGGUAAGUAGAUGAUCAAGCCAAAUGACAUUUGCUUCAUUUUGCAUUUCUUGGCUUUCAUGUGAGGAAUGUCAGUUUGCCUUCUUGUACUUUCAAAUUGUAAAAUGUAUGGCCUUUGCCUUUCCUCUUCACAAUCCCUCAUUGACUCGUGUAGUUCAAUUCCCAUAUCACCAAACAAUUUCAAUGUUCAGAAAUGCUUGAAAUGUGACAUCAAGCCUCCAAAUUGCAAUUCUAUCCGAAGUUUUCCAUCCUCUUUGUCCCCCGAACUAGAGUCAUUUUCAACCACAUCUUCAAAUUUUUUGGUUGACUCUAAUUCCAUAUUUUUCUUGACAUCAUUAACAAGCAUGGAGUCGGUUAGCGGAUAUUCAAUUCUUGAUUCCUCAAAAUAAAGCUCACUUUCUUCCUCGAAGUUAGACUUUUCUUGACCUCUUUCCACACUCUCAAGUUGGUGGGCAUAGUGAGCCUCAUCCAAUAUCUUCAUUUGAUUUUUCAAGAUGCGGAUAUUAUCAUCAUUUUGAGUUAGUACUUUUUUUAAGUCCUCGAGUGCCAAGUUGUGCUUCUCCUCAUUUUCAAGAAUGGUCUCCAACAUGAGCAUCAUCCUCUCAUUUUGUGCCUUUGAGAGUUCUUAUUGGUUUUGAUCAAGUGCCAAAGAAGGAUUUUCGGCUUCAACCUCUAAGGAAGGUUUUUGGCUAUCAUUCACUUCCGAGGCUUUUUGGACCUCUAAAUCUUCAAGCAUUUCUCUCAUUUGUAAGUUCAACCUUUCAACCGCCAAAUCAUUUUAAACACUAUUCUCCAAAAGCUCCUCUAAGGCAUUUUGCUCUUUGUUUCCUCCUUCAAGUAGGCAUUCCAACAUGAGCUUGAACUCUCCAUUUUGACCAUGCUCAAUUUCUUUCACUUCCAUAUCCCUAUACUUGUUAUCACUAAAAGUAGAAUCAUCAUAGUGGGGUUUCGGGGAAGGGAAGGACAGAUAAGCACAAUUAUCCCAAUGACCAUCUUAACCACCACACUUAUCACAAAUACUCCAUUNNNNNNNNNNNNNNNNNNNNNNNNNAUUACACAAAUAUUCACAAGUUUGGACCAAAGCACGUAUGCUUACUUCUCGAACAAUCUAAGUACGCCAAAUUGUUCCCCGGCAAUGGCGCCAAUUUUGAUGACGUCCAAAUCCACUACUAAAAAGUAAAUGGACACGGUCGCAUGCAAUAUAAUUUACCCAACUAUGAGUCGGGGUCGAAUCCCACAGAGAACAAUAUAUAGGAUAUUAGGCGUGUAAGAGAAUUAUUACUUGUUAUGCUUAGCCAAACACUUAAAAGGUGAUUGAGAAAUUAUUUAUAACUAAUUUUAAAAAUAUAAACUAACCUACAAAGCAAGUAAAAUUAUCAAUGGUGAAAAGCAUGGAUGCAUUGGGAAUUACACUCAAGUAACGAUCCAAUAUAUUUCACGAUUUUACAAAUAUGAGCGAGUUUAUGUUAAUUAGCUUCAGGUAAUAAUUCUAUAUUAGGUUCUUCCGAAGACUAACAAGACUUCAUAAUUGAAUUAUUCCUAAAACAAUUAAGAAUUAAGCACACCCGAAUAUGGCUACAAGUAGUUCAAUCCUAUUCCUAAGUAAAAUCUAUAAAGUGAGGGUUACCGCCUCAAGUUCUUGUUAAUUAAUCUUUUUCAACCCCGAAUUAUUUUUUCCAAAAUUAAUUCGAAGUGAAUGGGCGAGCCCCAGGGUUAUCUAAUCCCUUUGGAAAUAUUAAAGAACAAGUAUAAUUAAAGAAACAAUAACUCACUUCAUAAUAAAUAAAAAUCGUUCAAUGCACAAGCACAACAAGGUAUUUAAUCUAUACUUUAAAUGAGAAUAUUCCCAUAAACAAGAUUUAAAUGCUGGGAAAAAUAAUACACACUUAGAUAUUCAAUACAAAGCAAGGAAAUGAAGAAUUUAAUAUAAAUGGGUAAGAAAUUCUCAACCAAAAGCUUCAAAUUUUCAAGACCCAAGUGUGUGUGCAAGAACCCUAGCUUAAAAAACUGACAAAAGCUGCCCAAGAUGCCAAAGAUAUUUUACAAAUUAGCUAGGACGUGUAUUAAAGGGUUUGGGAUGAAGAAAAUAUGAUAUGACAGAAGUGCCCAAAACUGAAGCACGACAUUCGCAAUUGCGAACCUUGACAUCAUUGUUGAACAUUGCAUUUGCGAUCUGUAUGUUCGCAAUUGCGAACUAGGCACUGUGCACUUAGUUUUGCAUUUGCGAUGAAGGGCUUCGCAUUUGCGAAAGUUGACUGUCUGGUUUGACUUCGCAUUUGUGACCCUCAUUUCGCAUUUGCGAACAAUGACUGGAAUGGUUGACUUCACAUUUGCCAAGUUGAUGUCGCAAUUGCGACAUCUGAGCCUAUUUUCCAGAUUUCUUCUUUUUAACAUAAUUUUUACUCAUUUUCACUUGGUUUCUUCAUAAUCAAUUCUAAAUCACACAGAACCUACAAAAUAGAAGUAAACGACAAUAAACACACGAUUGUAUCACUCAAACAUAGCAAAAAUGUAAGCUUAAAGACUAGAUAAGUUGGUAAAAUACCAACUUAUCAGUGAUCAUGAGCCCCUGCUACGUGAUCGCAAAGCACUGCCAAACAACAGCUGAUCAGCUGCUACAAAACCAAGGGAAAUGGUCUAAAACCAUUCCGAAACUCACCCGAGGCCCCAAGUACCUGUCCAAUCAUUCUAACAAGUCCAUAUAUUUCGUACAAACUUCUCCCAAGGCUCAAAACAUAAAAAAUAACAAUAAAAUCAAGAACUGAAGAUUUAAUCCAUUCCUUAAUUUUCAAACUUUCCAACCUCACCAAACGCGUCUGAAUCAUACUUAGACAUUCCGGAUCACAACCAAACAUUUCACACAAGUUCAUUUAAACGAUUAGGACCUAUGCAAGGUCUCAAAACCACAAUCAAAGCUCAUUAACCCAAAAGUCAACUAUUUGUCAAACUCCUGAACUCUCUAAUUCAUCAAAUUACUAACUUUUGACAAAUAGAGUCAAAAUCCUCUAGGAACAUUCAAAGCCAAAUCCGAACAUAUGCCCACGUCCAAAAUCCAUACAAACCUAUAGGAAUACUCAUAUCCCGAUUUCGAGGUCAUUUAUUCAAACAUUAACCCUUGGAAAACUCUUACAACAUAAGCUUCAAAAAUGGAACUAAUCGUUUUAAAUCACACUCAAACCAUCCUAGAACCAAAUCAACCAUCCUUGCAAGUCACAAAACAUAAAAAGAACUUAUGGUAAAUAUCAAAUAGGGAAAGAAGGCUCUAAUACUCAAAAUGACCAGCCGAAUUGUUACAUUCUCCCAUCUUAAACAAGCAUUCAUCCUUAAUCGGGAUUACAAUCAUGCCAGAACUGCCAAAAAGAUGAGGAUAUCUAUUCUGCGUAUCAUGCUCGGUCUCCCAAGUCGCUUUCUCGAUCGAUUGACCUCUCUAUUAGACCUUCACUGAUGCAAUCUCAUUCGAUCGCAACUAUUGAACCUUCCAAUCUAGAAUGGAUACUGGCUCUUCUUCAUAAGAGAGAUUCUCAUCCAACUGCACUGAACUGAAAUCCAACACAUGCGACAAGUCUUGAUGAUAUUUCCCAAGCAUGGAAUCAUGAAUAUCGAAUGAAUUCCUAACAAACUGGGUGGCAAAGAAAGCUUGUAAGCCACCUCACCAACUAUCUCAAAAACCUCAGUUGGGCCAAUAUACCUAGGGCUCAACUUGCCCCUCUUCCUAACCCACAUCACGCCUUUCAUAGGCAAAAGACUAAGAAGAACCUCUUCACCUUCCAUGAAAUCCACAUCAUAAACCCGCUUAUCAGUAUAACUUUUCUUACUGGACUGAGCUGUGCAUAGUUGCUCCUUAAUCAACUUCACCUUCUGCAAAGAAUCAUAAACCAAAGUAGUACCCAAAAACCUAGCCUCACUAGGCUCAAUAAUAAUAGGUGAACGACAUCGUCUACCAUAUAAAACCUCAUAUGCAGCCAUCUGAAUACUAUACUAGUAGUUGUUAUUAUAAGUAAAAUCCACAAAUGGUGGGAAAUGAUCACAUUGCCUCCAAAAUCAAUAACACAUGAUCUCAACAUAUCCUCCAUAAUCUGAAUAGUCCGUGUAGACUGACAAUCCGUCUGUGUGUGAUAUGUCAUGCUAAGCUCCACCUCUGCAUCCAACAUUCACUGAACAACUCUCCAAAAGUGCGAUUUGAACUGAGUACCCCGAUCCGAAAUGGUAAAAAUAAUGCACACCAUGCAAACAGUCAAUCUCUCAGAUGUAGUAUGAGCCAACUUCUCUGAAGUGUAAGAAGUCAUCACCAUAAUGAAAGGCACAAACUUUGUCAAUCUGUCAACAAUGACCCAAAUGUAAUAAAACUUCCUCAAGGUCUGUGGCCAUCUUACCACAAAGUCCAUAGUGAUGCACUCCUACAUCCACUACGGUAUAUCUAUCUUCUAAAUUAACCCGCCUGAUUUCUAAUACUCAAACUUGACCUGCUAACAGUUUAAACAUCGCAAGACAUGUAUAGUAAUGUCCAUCUUCAUCAUUCGCCACCAAAAAUGCUGCCUCAAAUCAUGAUACAUCUCUGCAGCACCUGAAGGAUUAAAUACCGCAAACUGUAAGCCUAUUCAAGAAUCAACUCCUUCAUUUCAUUUACAUUAGGAACACAAAUUUGACCCUAAAGUCGCAAUACACCAUCAUCUCCAAUGACCGCCUCAUUAGCACCACCUCCGAACACCGUGUCAUUAAGGACAAGUAAAUGGGGAUCAUAAUACUGACGAGCCUUGAUCCUCUCAAAUAUGGAUGGCUGUGAAAAAACACAAGCAAGAACUUUGUUAGGCUCGGAAAAUAAUAAAUCUCAUAAAUCUAUUAACCAAGGCCUGAACAUCCAUAGCAAAAGGCCUCUCCUCAGCUAGAAUAAAUGACAAAACUACCCAUGCUCUAUGCCUUUCUACUCAAGGAAUCUGCUACCAUAUUCGCCUUAUCCCAGAUGAUACAAGAUAAUGAUAUCAUAAUUCGUAAGAGACUUAAGUCACUUCCACCACCUCAAACUAAAAUCCUUCUACUAGAACAAGUGCUAAAGAUUUCGAUGAUAAGUAUAAACCCCGCAUGACACACCAUACAAGUAAUGCCUCUAAAUCGUAAGCGCAUGCAUAAUAACUGCUAAUUCCAAAUCAUAAGCUGGAUAAUUAGUCUUAGAGGGAUUUAACUAUGGUGAUGCAUAAGUAAUCACCCUACCAUCCUGCAUCAACAUUGCACCAAGGCAAAUGCAUGAAGCAUCAGAAUAUACCGUGUAUGCCCUUGAACCUAUGGGCAACACAAAUACUAAGGUUGUAGUCAAAAUAGUCUUGAGCUUCUGAAAGCUCUCCAAACACUCAUUAGACCAUCUAAGAGGAACACAUUUCUAAGUUAACUUGAUCAAUGGGGUAAAACUAGAUGAAAACCCCUCUACAAAACGACGAUAGUAGCCUGCCAAACCCAAGAAACCUCUAAUCUCUAUAACUAUAGAAUGUCUAUGACAUUACUCUUAAAAAUAUCCUCCUCUCGAAGCCUAUGGAUCAAAAUAUGAAAGAAUGGGCAAAGUCUCGAAAUUCCAACUUAUAAAGUCUACCCAGGUACAACUCUUUGUGAUCGCGACAGUACCCUCAUGAUUGAAAUACCAAAUAGCCUCUAGCUCAAGCUAUACUCCUCGAACAUGAAGCCUUCCAUGAGAACGCGUUGACCAAGUUCUCCAAAGACUAAAUGAGCACGAGACUCCCUACGUGAACACCAAAGAUAAACCUCUUCCUAACUCCACAUCUCUGUGAAUGUGAUCGCCCUAACAUGAAUGCAAAGCACCAAUCCAUACCCCUACAUGAAUGCGAUCCCCUAACUGCAAACACAAUGAAAAAAAUUUGUUCGGCCAAAAUCCUUCUGCAUGAUCACAAAGCACUGCAAUACACCAGCCCAUCAAAUGCUUCAAACUCAACCAAAUUGGCCCAAAAACCACCCUCACUAGACACAUGAGCCCCCGAGACCCUAUCCAAUAUUACCAAUAAGUCCAAAUACCUUAUUCUAAUGAUCUAGCAGGUCGUUUUAUAUAUUUUAGCCCAUGUUUCCUCUAUGAUGCUCCCCAAAUGUUGUUUUUUUUUUUGGCUUGCAGGGACGGUUAGUUUGGUUUCGGGAAUGUCUUAGAGUGAAUUGAGGCACUUAGUCUCAUUUUGAAAGCUUAAAUUGUAAGAGUUGACCAAGGUUUGACUUUUGUGUAAACAACCUCGAACUGGUAUUUUGAUGGUUCCAAUAGGUUUGUAUGGUAAUUUGACUUAGACUUAUGUUCAUAUUGGGAUUUGAAGGUUCCUAGAAUGUUAUUUUUCUGAAAUUUGAAAAUUUAAAAGUUUCGAGAGGUCCUAAGUUUUAUUCGGAGUUGGCUUUGAUGAUAUCAGACUCAGAUUGUUAUUUUGGAACUUGGAAUAGGUUUAUUUUUUCAAUUUGGAACUUUUGUACAAAGUCUGAAUGUAUUCCAAAUUAGUUAGGCUUGAAUCGGAGGCUUGGUUAUAAGUUGGAAUGUUUGAAACUUAAGAGAAGGAUUAAGAUCAUCAAUUCUUGUUUUUAUGUUAUUUGUGAUGUUUUGAGCCCUUGGAUAGAUUUGUAUUAGGUAUACGGACUUUCUGGUAUGUGUGGACGGGGUUCCGAGGGGGUCAGAUGUUUUUUGCGGUGGUUUCCGACCAUUUCCCUUUCAUUUAUAGCUGUUGAUUUUGUUGGUGUCUAUGUUCAUCGCAUUCAUGAGACGAGCCUCACGUUUGUGAUGCAAGAUUUGGUGUUGGGGAGGAUUCCCAACAUUUGCACCUAGGUGUCCGUGUUCGUGAAAGGUUGUUGUGGUUCUUUGAGUUCGCGCCAGUAGAGUCGCGUUCACUGUGCAUAGAGGGAGCUGGGGGCACAGAACUUCGCAUUCGUGAGGUGAUGGUCGAGUUCGCAGAAGGCUGGGUUAUUUGGACUUCGUGUUUGAGAUGUAUUUGUUACGUUCGUGGAGUGCAUUUUGAGGCUUUGGUUGUUUGUGCUUCGCGAAUGCGAGGCAAUGACCGCAUUUGAAGGGUAUCGCUGGGCAGAACACUUUAGUGUUAUAUUCCGUGACUUAGUCCAUUCUAUCAUAUUUUGAACCCUACACGUGGAGAGGGGUGAUUGUUUGAAGUAGAUCUUCACACGAGGCAAGAGUGUAAGUGAUUUCUACUUGAUUUUUAUAAUAUAUCUUGUUUUCUCAUGGAUUAUUACAUAUAGAUUAUGGAAUUUAAAAGAGAAAUUUGGAGUUUUUGACUGUAAUUUUAGAGUGUAAAUUGGGGAUUUGGGAGUCGAUUUGGACUCUAUUUUGGAAUCUAAUCGCAUAUAUGGACUCGUGAGGUUAUGGUAAGUGGGGAUCUACCCUCUAACUCUGGUUUUGACUGUGUGGGCUUGGGUUGACUUUUGGAGAUUUGAUUGAAGAUUCGAACUUUAUUGUUUGGAAUUGAUAUUUAUGGCUUUGUUUGAUGUUAUUGGGUUGUAUUAGACAAGAUUCGAGUCUUUUAAAGAUGGAUUUCAAUGAUUUGGCGAGUUUUGUUUGAAUUAUAGCUACUUCUCCUGGCUAACCUUGGAAAGAGGGAAAUCACCUUAGGAUUGACUUUAUUACUAUGUGAUUAAGGUAUCUAGGGUGGUGUAUAUGUGGGUUGGCGAGCGCAUAUGCACGUACCAAGUUUAUAUUAUGUAUGGGGUAGAUUUGAGUUAUUUUAUGCUUUGUUUUGAUUAUGUGCUCAUCUUGGUUCAUGAUUUGUUUGGCCUUUAUGACUACAUUUCUCUUUUAUUCAUUCGAGAGAUCAUGCCUAGGUUUAUGAUUAUUUAUGAAGGCAUGGGAGUUUAUUCUCGAUAUGUUAAAUUGUUUGAAUCAUCCAUAGUUAUAUAGAAAUUUCCAUGAGCACAUAUCCAUAUGAUUAUUAGGUCCAUGUGCAUCUUUUAUCUCUAACUCUUGGACAUAUGCAUGCGUAUUAUAUUGGAUACUUGAUUUGGACUAAGAUUGUGGCAUGAGAGGUAAGGUCGUGUAGAUAAAUACAAUUAUGGCACACAAGACGGGAUGAAUGGAUAUUUGAUUAUGAGUGAGCUAUCAAGCUCCUUUUUGCGCUUGGAUAAGGAUCCAUCCCUCCGGAGUCAGGUGAUAACCCAUGAUACUUUGGGCCAUGUGAUCAUGGUCGAUACAUGGAUCGUGUAUCGGGUCGAUGCAUGGAUUUUGUAUUAGGUUUCAGUGAUACAUGGAUUUCGUAUCGGGUUUGGCGAUACAUGUAUUGUGUAUCGUGGUACAAGGAUUUUGUACCAGUUAUGGUGGUUGUUAGAGUCUUGAGCAUGCAUAGACAUCCCUGACGCAUUUAGAAGUAUUCAUUUAAAUGAUAACUGUCGCAUUUCACCUAUAUGUGCUAGUUGGGAGCCUCGUCUUUGUUGAUUUAAAGCAUUCCAUCAUUAAAUGUCGCAUUUGAGUAGCAUUAUGAUAUCUCUUGAAUUGGAAAAGCAUUCCUUAUGCUUUUCGAUUGUUUUACAUCUUUGAUUCCUGUUGUUCAUGAGAUGAUUUACUAUUUCAGUUCUAAAACUUUGUUAUAUAUAUUUGUGUUGCAAGUAUCAUGAUGCAUGUAGCUUCUCCAGUACUUCUUCGAGGUCAGACUUGAUACUUCCUCGGGUGGGUUCUAGCGGAGCCUCUAAAUGAUCCUAGGCAAUCGCGCAUAGACUUAGGGUGAUCACGACUUAGGGUCGUGCAAGUCCUUGUCUUUUAUUAGUUCCUGUCUAUUUUUUUAUCUCAAACAGUGUUGAUCAUGUAUUCAGAUAUGUACUUAUUCAGUAGUAGCUCAUGUACUUGUAUCACCCAGUCUUUGGGGGUUGUACUAUUUUGGUUGUGCUGAGCCCAUGGUAUGAUUGUAUCAGAUAUUAUGAUGUUCCAAGACUAUUUUUGUUUUUAUUUAUGUUAUGACUCAACUAAUUAAAGAAUCUUGACUAUUUUGUAUUGACUGUCACUUGGCUUGCUUAGCAAGUACGGCUAUGCGCCAUCACGACCUAAGGUGUGAUUUUCGGUCAUGACAAGUUAGUAUCAGAGUACUAGGUUGCUUAGGUCUCACGAGUCACGAGCAAGCCUAUUAGAAUUUUGUCAAUCGGUAAGGAGAUGUCCAUACGUAUCUUCAAGAGGCUACAUGGUUGUAAGGAAAACUUCUCUUUCUUUCACUGUCUAUCAUGUGGAAUUGUUUAUGUCAAAGUUUGAAUAUUUUCCUUUCUAUUCUCUCAUAGAUAUUGAGGACAUAAUCAUUUGGUACAGUUGAGCAAGCGCCGAUACCCUAGGCUAAGGCUGCGGGAGGCCGAGGUCGAGGCAGAUUUAGGGGUGGAGCAUGCGCCGUAGUUAGGGGCCCUGCUCGAGCAGCCAUAGUGGAUCCACUAGUAGCUCCCAUUGAGGAUCAAAUUUCGGAUUAUGUUGAGCUAGUUGGACUAGCUCAUGUCCUAGAGCGGUUUAUGUUACAUCCGGUACUUUUGUACAUUGGAUUUUUCGUAGGUUAAUUGGCAUAGGUUCAAGGACAAGACUAUUUUUGAGGUUAUAAGUAUUUAUGCUAUUUAUAAUAAGUGAUAAGUCGUGAAGGUUAGAGGGUAAAUGAAUAAAAGAAAAUGAGUUUCGUCGAAGUUUGUCAUUUUGGGAUGAAAAAAUGGUCCAAGCUAAAAUACCCCGUAUUUAUGGACUAGUGCAAUACAAUAUACCAUGUGACCAUGAUAGUAAGGUAUAUAAAGUAUGUUAAAAGUGAUUAGUAUUUAAAUGAAAUGAGAUUUAGAAAUUAAUUGUGUGUGUAAUUAGGUAAGUGGGAAAUUGUAGUGGAAGACUAAUUAAAUUGAAUUAUUUAAUAAUUGGUGUAGUGGAUAACAUUCCACAUGUCACAUGGCGGCAGCAACAUUAGUGACUAAUCUACACCCAUAAGUGUUGUUGGCACUAUUAAACUCAAUGUCUCAAGAGAAGCUAAGGAGGACAUGUAUAAAUGGAAAUAUUACAAUUAUGUCUCUUGUUUCACUUGAUUUGAGAAUGAAAUUGAAGAAUAGAUAGGUUCAACAUAGUGUAGCAGCAAAGAACGUUAAUUUGAGAUGAUUUUCUGCAACAUGAGCUAAAAAUUUCAUGAAAGCAAAGUGUAAUCUUUCUCAAAGACAAUAUACGGGUUUUGUGCACCGCCUCGAUCUCGUUGUUCCGUUUUGGCGCGUUGGUUAAUUUGGGCUUUCUUUGAUGUGAAGUAAAGUGGAAUAAGAGUAUUUCCUGGCAAAUAUGGUAAGAAUUUUCCUCUUCUUAGUAUAUAUAAAUUCAUCUAGGUCAUGGCUAAAUUGUGGGAUGAGAAUUAUGGAGUUAAUAGCGAGAAAUCAUAUUCUGACGUUGUUAUUGUAUCGACUAUUCGGUAAUUUUAUAAGUUGUAUUGUUGCUGAAAAUUGUGGGAGUAACUUGAGUAUAUAGUUGUGUAGUCAUUGAUAUGUGUUUUGUAGGAAAGAAAAGAUUGGAGAAGUAUGGCUGAUAAUCGUAGCUGAGCUUUUCGCUCGUUGUAUUAUUGUUUGGGUUGUAAAACUUGAUAUAGGUGUUGUUGGUUGUGUUGUUAUAUUACCUAGCCUAUGGUAGGCUUGAGGGAAUGAUACGAACAAGGAAAAUACAGUCCAUUUCAUUGUAGUAUAGGUUAUCUUCCGUUAUGCAAUUAAGAGAAUUGUUCAUAUUAUUGACAAUAGUAUUAUUCUUGAAGUGGAUAUGAGUUGAGCUCUUGAACCAGUGGGUUAAGACAAGGUAUGUUAAGGCUAAUCCUUCCUUCUUUUGGCAUGAUCCUAGUAAUGAUACGUAAAUGUAAUGUUAUUCUAUAAAUGGUUCUACUCUUAGUAGUUAAGGAUGUCUACGUUAUUCAUUCUUGUAAAAUGUAUUUUAAAGCAUGUCUAAGUAUGUUCCUAAGUCCCUAUUGAGGCAUACGAUAAAGAUGUUAAUGUUCAAAAUGUAGUGUUAUAUGGAUCUUCAUUUACCAUCAUGCUACGGCCGGUCAAGCAGUCAUGCAUUUACCACCGAGCUACGGCCGGUCGGGCAGUCAUGCAUUUACCAUCGAGCUACGGCCAGUUGGGCAGUCAUACAUUUACCACCGUGCUACGGCCAGUCAGGCAGUCAUGCAUUUACCACUGAGCCUUGGCCGGUUGGGAAUUUAUGCAUUUACCACCGUGCUACGGCCGGUCGGGCAGUCAUGCAUUUACCACCGUACUACGGCCGGUCGGGCAGUUACCACCAAUUGGGAAGUUAUAAUUUACCACCGAGCUACGGCCGGUCGGGAAGUUACCACUGAUAAGUUGGGCAGUCAUGUUACGAUAUGGAAUAUAGUCCCAAAGAGAGGCAUUAUAUAUAUAAGUAUAAUUAGUAUGCAUAUACGAUGGCACUUUAAAGGUUCAGGUUGAUUCUUAUAUCUCUUUCAUUAAUGUUGACUUAUUGUUAUUUUUCAAGUUUGCCUUACAUACUCGGUACAUUAUUCGUACUGACGUCCUUUUUGUUGUAGACGUUGCAUUCAUGCCUGCAGGUGCAGGAAAUCAGUUUAACGAGCCUUCAUAGUAGACGAGGUUAUCAUUCAGUGAAAGACCGGUAAGACUCCACUUCAUUCGGAGUGCAGCCGAGUCUAUAAGUCAUCAUGUCAGAGUUUUACUGCAGACUUAUGGGUAGGUCAGGGCCCUGUCCCGUUUGAUGUCAAAUACACUUAGAGGAUUUGUAGACUUUGGUUCAUUAUGUACGUAGGCCUUCACGUCCCGUGUGUAUUCAUGGUUUAAGUACGAUGGUUAGCUGAUACAGUGUUUGCCCACUUACAAUUAUGCAUUACGAGUUGGGGCCAUGUUGGCCCAUGAUGGUUAUAGAAAGAAUGAGUUAACCCAACAUGACCUAUGUAUGUUCUUGUUUUGGUCGAACGAUCAUGGGUUACAGAGUGGUUCGCUCGGGAAAGUAAGGCACCAGGUGCCGGUUUAUUACUACACCAGUACUUCAGGAUGCUCUUAUUAGUCUGGUUGAACUAAUAGAGGGUUUGACACAUGCUUGGGUACUUCCUGUGGCACCAGCUACUUAUCAGGCCGGGGAGUAGCACAGACCCUGCUACUCACACUCCACAUUAGGUUGUUGCUGUGUAUCAAACAUCAAAAGUAGUACUGAUUGGGGGACACCCUCUUGUGGUUUCUAUUAGGCUAGCAAUAGAGCCUGUUAUGACUAAGGAGGAGCAUAAGAUGUUUGAUCGUUGCACGGAGAUGGGUCCUCCACAGUUUGAUGGUGAUCCUUUGGUAGAUGCACAUAAUUUCUAAGAUGGUGGAGAUUCUGCAGAAUCUAUGCUUGGUUGAGUCGAAUAGGGUCAAUUUCACAACUUUUUAGCUCAAAAGGCCAGCCAAGAGGCUAUGGCAGUCAUAUGAGCGUAGCAGCCUAGCAGGGUCACUUCCACUCAGUUGGGAUCAGUUUUCAAAUCUCUUCUUAGAGAAAUUCAUUUACCUCAUAAAGAAGGAUGUGAUGGAUGGUCAGUUUGAGCACCAUCAGCAAGGUCGCAUGUCUAGGAUAGUGUAUGAUAUGAGAUUCACUAAUUUAUCACAUCAUGCAGCUUUUUUGAUCCCUAUCGAGGUUAAGAAUGUGAGGAGGUUCAUUGAGGUAUUGAAUUUUUGUAUCAAGAUCUUUAUGGCUAGGGAGGUGGAUACCGAUACUACAUUUGUUCAGGCUGUGGAUAUAGCACGCAGGAUUGAGCGCAUUCAAGGUCAAAGCAUGGAGGCCAUGGUCAUUAGGGGCAAGAGGGCCCUACAUUCUGGCAGUUUCAGUGGUACGUCGUCUGGAGGUAGGGAUCAUACUAGGAGAGGCCAUUCUAACAGGCCAGAUCCUUUAGCUUAUUAGCCCACUUGUGGCGCUCCAGUUCAGUUUUAGUUCACUGCAUUACCAGCGCAGAGUUUGUGGUGCUCCAAUUCAAUUUUGGUUCACUACAUUACUAGUGCAGAGUUCCUACCAUACUCCUUCGGUCCAGGGUUCUUCUAGUGAGUACUCAGGUUACUGGAGGCAACCUCAUAUUCAGCAGCCAUUCUCAACUCGAGGUUGUUUUGAGUGUGGAGAGGUGGGGCAUAUCAAGAAAGAUUACCCCGUGCAUGGUAGAUGUGCAGCACAACAAGGUUCUAGGACCGUUACUCCAGUACGAGUUAUUACACCAUCAGCCCUACCAGCUAGAGGGGGAGCCCAGGAACCAAGAGGUGGAGGUAGUCGGGUGUUGGUCAUGCCCGCUGUUAUACAAUUCCGGGUAGACCCAAAGUGGAGGGUUCUAAUGCAGUUAUUACAGGUAUUGCUUUAAUCUGUCAUAUAUAUGCAUCAGUUCUAUUUGAUCCUGGUUUUAUAUAUUCCCAUGUGAAAUCAUACUUUGUAUCGCAUUUGGAAUUGCCCCAUAGUUCUCUCGAUAUCCUUGUUCAUGUAUCUAUACCUCUUGCUGACUCUAUUGUGGUGGAUCGAGUGUAUCGGUCUUAUGUGGUUACCAUCAGGGGUUUUGAGACUAGUGUCAAUCUUCUAUUUCUUUCUAUGGUGGACUUUUGUGUGAUUUUAGGUGUGGAUUCAUUUUCUCCAUAUCAUGUUAUUUGUGAUCGUCACACUAAGACCGUGACAUUGGUUAUACCGGGCUUGCCAAGCUUGGAAUGGAGAGGUUCUCUUUGUCAUACUUCUAGUAGAAUAAUUUGAAUUCCGAUGGCUCGGCAGAUGGUUGAGAAGGGUUGUUUGGCAUAUCUGGCCUUUGUUAGGGAUGUUAGUGUUGAUACUCCUAUCAUUGAGUCAGUUUCAGUAGUGAAGGACUUUUCGAAUGUAUUUCCUGCAUAGCCAUCGGGCAUACUACCCGAUAGGGAUACUGAUUUUGGUAUUGAUUUUGUGUCGGGCACUCAGCGCAUAUCUACUCCAUUAUAUCGCAUGGCUCUAGCUAAGUUUAAGGAAUUGAAAAAACAAUUUCAAGUGUUAUUGGAUAAGGGGUUCAUCAAGCCUAGUGUGUCACCUUGGGGUGCACCGGUGUUGUUUGUUAAGAAGAAGAAUGGUUUUAUGAGGAUGUGUAUUGACUAUAGGCAGUUGAAUAAGAUGACCGUCAAUAACAAGUAUCCACUAUUGAUGACUUAUUUGGUCAUCUUCAAGGUGCUAGGGUGUUCUCAAAGAUUGACUUGAGAUCGAGGUACCAUCAGUUCAAGAUCAAGGCUUCGUACAUACCUGAGAUGGCUUUCAUGGCUCGUAAUAGGAAUUAUGAGUUUUUUGUGAUAUCCUUUAGUUGACUAAUGCAUGAGCAACUUUCAUGCAUUUGAUGAACAAUUGCUGUAGUGUUGAAGAGCACGAGCAAAAUUUGAGUAUUAUGCUCCAGAUUCUUAGGAAGAAGAAAUUAUAUGCUAAAUUUUGCAAGUGUGAGGUUUGGUUGGACUCGGUGGCAUUAUAUGCUAAAUUAUGUGAAGAAGAUUGAGGCAGUUCAGAGUUGGCCCAGACCUUCCACCGCUACUGAGAUCUUGAGUUUCUUAGGUUUGGGUGGUUACUAUCGUCUCUUUGUGGAAGGGUUCACAUCUAUUUUAGAUCCAUUAACAAAGUUGACCUAGAAGGGUGCUUUAUUCAGAUGGUCCAAUGAGUGUGAGGAGAGCUUUUAGAAGCUCAAGACUACUUUGACUAUACGGCUCAUGUUUUGGUAUUACCUUCUGGAUCGAGGAUGUACACCAUUUAUCAUGAUGCUUCACGUCUUUGUCUUGGUUGUGUGUUGUUGCAAUAUGAUAAGGUGAUUACCUAUGUGUCGCUCACUAGUUGAAACCUCAUGAGAAAAACUAUCCAGUGCAUGAUUUGGAGUUAGCAUCUAUUCUGCACGCGCAUAUGAUUUGGAGGCAUUACCUGUAUGGUGUGUCUUGUGAGGUUUACACUGAUCAUCAGAGUCUUCACCAUUUGUUCAAGCAAAAGGAUUUGAAUUUGAGGUAGAAGAGGUGGUUGGAUUUGUUGAAGGAUUAUGAUAUCAUUAUCAUGUAUCAUCGGGGGAAGGCUAAUAUGGUAGCAAAUGCCUUGAGCAGAAAGGCGGAGAGUAUGAAGAGUUUUGCAUUUAUCCCAGUUGUAAAGAGACAUUUAUUCCAGCUGUAGAGAGACAUUUGGCUAUGAAUGUUUAGGCUUUGGCUAGUAGAUUCAUUAAAUUGUAUAUUUCUAUGCCUACCAAAGUCAUUGCCUAUGUUGUUUCACAGUCGUCCUUGUUUUAGCGCAUUAAGGCUCGCCAGUAUGAUGAUGCCCAUUUGCUUUUCCUUAAGGAUAUGGUGCGGUGAGGUGGUUCUAAGGAGGUGAGUAUUGGUGUUUGUGUAUUGCGACUUCAGGGUCGAGUGUGUGUUCCCAGUGUCGAUAUCUUGAGAGAGUUGAUUCUUGAGAAGGCUCAUAGGUCACGGUAUUAUAUUCACCCAAGUUCUACGAAGAUGUAUCGUGACUUGAAGAAACAUUAUUGGUUGCGGAGGCUAAAGAAGGAUAUUGUUUGGCAUGUGUCGCGGUGUCUGAAUUGCCAACUAGUCUAGUAGCCAGAUGGCUCUAAAUUAGGAAUUAUAUAGGAGGUGGUGUCGUUCUUCGAUUGGGUGGUUUGAGCCAGGUGAGGCUAGGUUGUUGGGAAUAUAUUUGGUUCAUGAUGCUUUGUAGAAGGUGAAGUUGAUUCAAGAGUGACUUCGUUCACCGCAGUCCAGGAAGAAAAGUUAUGCUGAUAAGAAGGUUCGUGAUGUGGCUUUCAUGGAGGUUGACAGGGUUUUUCUUGUACUUUCUCCUAUGAUAGGUGUGAUGAGAUUUGGGAAGAAGAGCAAGUUGAUCCCUUGGUAUAUUGGUCAUAUUGAGGUGUUAGAGAGGGUUGGUGAGGUGGCCUAUAGAGAUUCCUUACCACCUAGCUUGUCGGGUGUUCAUCGGGUGUUUCAUGUUUCCAUGCUUCGGUAGUAUCACGGGGAUCUGUUACAUAUGAUAAAUUUUAGUUCGAUGCAGUUGGAUGAGAAUUUAGCUUAUGAAGAAGAACCAAUGGCCAUUUUGGAUAGGUAGCUUCGGAGUCGGUAGAAGUUUUGGAAGGUUGUAGUAAUCUAAGGAAAGCAUCACUGAGGUAUGUUCGCUAAACUUCUCUUGUAUAUCCGAAUUCCAUGAUGUUCUCAUAAGUUUCAAGUGUGAUUGGCCCAGGUUCUUAUUUCUCAUGUUACGAGUCAUUCCUAAUAAAUUCCAUUAUUCCAAAUAAGCUGUGUUGAAAUAUGUAUACCCAACAUGUGUUCCAAUUACCCCUGUCAUAUUAUGUUCUUCUUUGGGAAUGUAUUCAAGUAUGACCAAUGUAUCAAAAUGUCAUUAUUUAAAAUCAUGUUUCAAUUGCAAGUUUAUUAUGCCUGAUUUUGGAAGAAAAACUCAAUGUGCUAAGACUCAUAUUGCUCAUAUACAUAAUUAGAGUCUUGAUUUCAACACUUAUUGUUGAUGACCUAUGAUGAUUCUUGAAAGUGAAAGAAGAGAGUAUGAAAUAUAAAAUGUGGCCAUCGUGCCAAGAAUGAAAACUACACUUGUAGCCAAUUGUGCCAAUGAAAUGAAAGGAUGUAUGAAAGAUUAUGAAAUCAGUUUUAACUCCUUUAUAUAAUAAAUGUGUUGGGAGUAUCGUUAGUCACCAAGGAAGGGUAGGUUGAAAUAAUCUAACCCCAAACUUACACGUGUCGGUGUAGGAGUGAUUGAGGGGUAAAUCCCCGUAUUGAUGUGUUGAGAUUAUUCCCCUUAAAUGGGAUGAGAUUGAUGUGUUGAGAUUAUUCCCCUUAACUGGGAUGAGAUGAUUGCUAGCGAAAACUGUGAUGUCGACCCACACGGCAUUGUGGUGAGACAGCUUAGCCGAUCGGGCCAAAAUCGGAUGCCAAGUCGCGCUCAUGUUGGUGUGGUGAUUGGAUAUCGUUCGGUGAGACGGCUUAGCCAAUCGGGCAGAUAUCGGACUCCAUUAUAAAAGCAUGGUAGUGUAUCGGUACUAAAUAUCUCCCAACCUAAAAAUAUUGAUAUUUACUUGAAAACGUAUCUUUCUCUUAACUUGAAGCUUUAAUCUUGUUUGAGGCUCUCAUUGAUUCCAUGUUUCUUACUCCUUGUACUGUUGCUCAUUUCAUUGAGAGGGUUUUUAGUCUUACAUACUAGUACUACUCCAUGUUUCUGGCACCAUCAUAUUACUCUUUUGUAUCCAUUAAAGGCUCUGUAGACAUAGUGUGGGUUGUAUUUUGAUUUGGGUAAGUCAGACUUAAAAUGUUGUACUUGUAACACAUGUAUCCACUUCUAAAACUACGAAUGUGUAAUAUAUUUUGGGAGUUUGUAAUAAAGUAACAAAUGGUAACAAAAUUUGUGUCUUACAUGUCAUCCUCCUAUUGUCUAAUUCAUGAUAUUCACCUUCACUUUAUUCAUGGGUAAAGUCAGGUAGAAGACAUUGAGUAGAUUUGCUUGACUGGGAUAUCUCGAUUGAGCGUCGGUCGCGCUCCCCAAGGUCGGGGCUUGACAAGCUUGGUAUCAGAGCCUAAGGUUUUAAAGUUUCUUAGGAUGUCUCAGAGUUGUGUCUAGUAGAUUCCUUCUUAUCGGUGUGUUGUCGACCACAUCUAUAAUUAGGAGGAUACUUGGGCAUUUAGGAAUGUCACCCUUCUUUGAUGUUCUAGAUCCUGUGAUAGAGCUAAUUGUAAGAUUGUUCCUCUUUUAACUCAUGCACAUUCCUAAUUUCAAGUAUAUGGCACCUAGAAAGAAGGAAAGAAUUGGCCAAAGAGAUGAUGCCACCCCAGGAGUGGCAGUUGAUUCUAUACCUGAUGAAGCGGGUGAGCACCCGAAGGUUGAGGAUAUUCCCCCAACCACAACACUGCUUGCUUCUACUAAUCCAGCUUAGACUGCCCCAAUUCCUAUACAUACUGAGGGUGCAAUGAUUCCUCCACCAACUGAUAUUCAAGUUCCACCUCCACCCUCAACUUCUGGUCCCAGUGUUUCUGGUGGGGACAUUAGGGGAGCCAUACAGAUGUUGGCUCAGAUAGUGGCUUCUAUAACACCCCCGAAAGAAUUUUAAGUGUUUUAAGACCAUUAAGAAGAUUGGCAGGUACUAAUUAUAUUAAUUCGGGUAUGAACAAGAUUAAUAAUAUGAAUUAUAUCAAUUGAUCAUGAUAAUAUAUGUAUGGGGUUCAUUAAGAAUGGUUUAUGGUCUAAGAAGAUCUCCAAGGCUAAGUCAAGUUAGAAAUUAUACGAUGGGGUAAAGUUUCAAGUGAUUUCGCAUAAGACCUAACUUCAAAUGAGCAUAACUCUCACGAUAUGAAGUUUUAUAUUGUUUAUCACCUAUCAAACGAAAGGUCUAUAUGUAUAGUUUCUAAUGCUUCAAACCAUUCGUCAUUUGGAGAUUCCUACAAGACGUUAUGACCUUUUUACAAAAGGGUGACAGAAUAGCUAUGCUAGUCUUGGUAGCCUACGCACCAUAGCAGCAUAGCCUACGCACCAUUGCGUAGGCAAAUCCAGCAACUUACAAUUGAAGGGGAAUGGAAGUCUACCCUGCGUAGCCUUUGUGCAUAGCCUACACAGGAGGCUACCCAGCUUCAAGGGUCAUUUUAAGGAGCUAAAAACAUGGGUUUAGAGAGAAAGUGUGUUAGUUCUUCAUCUUGGAAUGGAUUUCUAGAGAGAAGGAGGAGCUCUUCCACCAUGGAUACACUUCAAGGUAAGUGUUUUUGGCACAGGGAUGAUUAUAUAACAUCAUUUAGUGAUAACACUAACAUAUUAUAGAUCAAAUCCAUAGGAAAUGGGUUGAAGCUUCAAGAACACCAAAAAGAGGAAAAGUGAGAUUCUUCCACCAAGAGGUAAUCCCUUAUCUUGAGAUUCAUAUAUAUGUCAUAUUGGAGUAUGGGUAGAAUGUUUAUGAGUUUUAUUUGAAGUUAUAAUGGGAUAUUGUAUGAACACUAAGGGUGGGUCUUGAGAAUGCCAUUUUUGGGUAAAGAAGAAGAUGAAUAGUGAUGAAUUGAUAUAAAUACAUAUGUCUUGAGUUUCUAAUGAUUCCAAUAGACUUGAUAACUUAAUUGAUGAAUGAAUUUAAUUGGGAAUCACCAUUUGGAUAACAUACAACACUAGUUCUUGAAAUGGAUGUUCUUGAACCUAGAGUUUUGUUGAGAAGGAAAUGAAUAGUGACUUGAUGAUGUUGGGUAAUUAACAUAGUAUUAUUAAUGACACCAAAUGAGUAUUAAAUAAUAAGAAUGAAAUUGAAUAGGCUAAUGGAUGAGCCUAAUGGAUAAUUUGGGAUGGUUGAAGGCUUCCUGCCGAAUUGUGAAGCCUAAAUAGAUAUUUAUGAAUCUUUUCGUAUUUAUUUUGAUGUAGUUGGGAUAUCUAAUGGUAGGUAUUGAAUUGUGGGUGAUAUUUGGACAUUUUAAACAAUUGGAUAAUUGUAGUAUUUUCGGAGUUUGAAGGUUGAGAUUGGAAUUGCUAGGAUUUUUGGAUUUAAGGAAAGCUCAAAUCGAGGUAUUUUGGUAAACUCCUCUCUUAGAAUUGAAUCCCACGGUAUUCAUGUAAUUUAUGUAAGUUCCAAAUGGUUCACUAUAAAAAAUUUGGCUAUUCUGAAUCAGUUGUGUUGAAAGAUAUAUGUUCAAUAUGUAUACCAAAUGCUUUUAUCAUGUUAUAUUAUCAUUUGAGAAUGUGUUCAAAGAAUGAGUUGUGCAUUAAAAAUGUUUCGACUUCAAGCCAAGUCCAAAUGAAGGCUAUUAUGCCAAAUCUUGUGAAAUAUCUCUAUGUGCCUUACUCUUAAGUGCUCACAUGUGUACCAAAAAUGUUGAUUUGAAUUGCCUUGUUGUGGAUGAUGUUUGAAAGUGAAAAGGGUGAGCAUGAAAUACUAAAUACGGCCGACGUGCCAAGAAUGAUUUUAUAUUUGUGGCCAUUAGUGCCAAUGAAAAGAAAAGAUGUGAAAGAAGUAUGAAAUGAGAUGAUUGGUAUAAAAAGGAUGAUGUCUCGAGUGAGACGACUUAGUUGAUCGGGUCGUGAUCGGAUGUCAUGCCGCACACAGGGUGGUGAUUGUGCUGGAAAUUAUAAAUUAAAAUUGUGAUUGUGGUUGAUGGCCUAGCCAAUCGGGUCGUUAUCGGACUCCGUGCUAAAAGUACGGUGGUAUUGGUAUUGUGAAUAUUGGUAUCGUGAAAAUGGCAUAUUGGUAUUAAAGAUCUCCCAACUUAAGAUAUGAAAAUUAAUUUGAACACUGUCUUGAUCCUAAUUUGAGGUUUGAUGUUGUUUGUGGCUUCCAGUGAUAUUAUGAUUGUUAUUCCUUGUAUUAUUUAUCAUUCUAUUGAGAGGGUAUUUUGUCAUUCAUACUAGUACUAUUCCAUAUGUACUAACGUCCCUUUUGCCGGGGGCGCUGCAUCUUCAAUGGAUGCAGGUGGUUCCACAGCAGGAGACAUUGAUCAGUGAUAGCAGUACACUCUCUUCCCAACUGACUUGGUGAGCCCCACUUCAUUUCAGAGUCAUGUAUCUUUUGUUCCUUGUGUAUUUUGUUUGAGGUAUAGUCGGGGCCUUGUUGCCGGCAUUAUCAUAGAAUCUUAUGUAUCUAUUAGAGGCUCCGUAGACAAAGUGUGGGUUGUAUAUUGGUGGUGAGGAAGUCAAACCAUGUUAUGUUGUGUUGGAAUUACUUGUUCCACUCUAGACCAUGAAAAUGUGUGUAAUUGGAGACUUUAAAAUGAAGUAACUUAUGGUAAUGAAUUUGUAUUGUAUUUAUAAGUGAGCUUUGGUAGAAAGUGUCGAACAGGCUUGCUUGACCGGGUUCACUCGGUUGAGCAUCGGUCGCGCUCCCCGAGUUCGGGGCGUGACAAAUAUGGUAUCAGAGUCUAAGGUUUUAAAGUGUCAUAGGAUAUCUCGGAGCCGUGUCUAGUAGAGUCCUUCUUAUCGGUGUGUUGCCGACCACAUCUAUAAUGGGGAGGCUACUUGAACAUUUAGGAAUGAUACCCUUCUUUCAUGUUCUUAAUCGUGCAAUAGAGCUGAUUGUAAGAUUGUUCCUCCUUUAUCUCGUGCGUUGCUCUAAUUUUCUGUACAUGGCAUCUAAGAAGGCAAGAACUGGCUAGAGAGCCAAUGUCGCCCCAGGAGUGGCAUUUGAUCCUAUAUUUGAUGAUGCGGUUGAUCACCCAAGGGGUGAGGAUAUUCCCCCAAUUACUACACUGCCUGAUUCUACUACAAUUGAUCAGACUGCACCUGUCCUUACACCUACUGAGGGUGCAACAGUCCCUCCAACUGAUAUUCCAGUUCCACCUCCAGCUCCAGCUUCUGAUUCUAGUGUUUCUGAUGUUGAUCUUAGGGGAGCCAUACAAAUGUUGGCUCAGAUAGUGGCUUCCCAAUCCUAGAGAUCGAAUGUUGCACCCACUUCUUCCAGUCAGCCAGGGGAUUCUACUAGUUCGAGGUUGAACAGGUUUCUUUAGUUAGAUCCUCCAGUUUUCACGGGUACUAACCCAGAGGAGGACCCCCAGGACUUCAUUGAUGAGAUGCACAAAACUCUCUGAGUUAUGUGUGCUACUGAGACAGAGGAAGUGGAGUUAGCCUCAUACUGCCUGAAAGAGGUGGAAUAUUCUUGGUUUGAGCUCUAGGAGGAGUCCCAUGAAGAAGGGAGCCCUCCGGCGAGGUUGGGUGAGUUUGUCGAUGCCUUUAUUGAUCAUUUAUUGCAUGCCGAGACUAAGGCAGUACGUGUCGCUGAGUUUGAGAACCUGAGGCAAGGUAUCCUGAGUGUGUGGGAAUACCAUAUGUGAUUUGCGCACUUGUCCAAGUAUGCUUACAUGUUUCCCACUAUGGAGGCUAGAGUGCACCGGUUUGUGCAGGGCCUAAAUCCAUUAGUAAUUAAUGAGGCCUCUAAUCUACCUUGAAUUCUGAUAUGAACUAUGGGAAGAUGGUGGCAUUUUCUCAAGCAACAGAAACCCGCAAAUUGUAGAACAGGAUGGAGCGAGAGGGUAGCAAUAAGGCCCGGUCUACGGGCAACUUUGGCGGUUCUUUUGGUGGCGGCAGGUCAAUGUUCAGGGGAGGGUCUUCAGGGACAUCUCAGUCCUUAGAAUUCAGAAGCUUCCUUAGAUGUUGUCACAUGUAUAUUGACUGUCUAAUCUCAUAAUGUGUAUGAUCUUACUGAUCCUGGUUCCACUUUGUCAUAUGUCACUCCAUAUGUUGCUAUGGAAUUUGGGAUAGAACCGAAACAGCUUCAUGAGCCAUUCUCUAUAUCUACUCUGGUUGGUGAGUCUAUUUUGGAUGCGCGGGUUUAUUGGGAAUGUGGUGUCACGUUGCUUGGUUGGAACACCAUGGACGAUCUCAUUGAAUUGAGGAUGGUCGAUUUUGAUAUAAUAAUGGGGAUGGACUGGCUUUAUUCAUGUUUUUCCAAGCUUGAUUGCGAACUAGGACCGUUAGGUUCGAAUUUCCAAAUGAGCCAGUUAUUGAGUGGAAGGGGGGUGAUGUGGUGCCAAAGGGUAGGUUUAUUUCUUACCUUAAGGCCACAAAGAUGAUCAACAAAGGGUGUGUUUACCAUUUGGUUUAUGUUACGGACAUCGAUGUUGAGGCACCGAAACAUGAGUUAGUGCCUGUUGUGAAUAAAUUUUCGGGAGUCUUUCUGAAUGAGCUCCCUGGUAUACCACCAGACAGGGACAUUGAUAUUUAGAUUGAUGUGAUGCCAGACACGUAGCCUAUAUCUAUUCCACCCCACAUAAUGACACCGGAAGAAUUGAAGGAACUAAAGGAACAAUUGAAUGAUUUUUUACAAAAGGGUUUUAUCCGGCAGAGUGUGUCGCCUAGGGGCGCACCGGUUCUCUUUGUAAGGAAGAAAGAUGGGUCACUACGAAUGUGUAUCGACUAUCAGCAGCUCAACAAGGUCACAAUCAAUAAUAAGUACCCACUGCCAAGGAUAGAUGAUUUAUUUGACCAAUUGCAGGGUGCUAAGUACUUCUCCAAAAUUGAUUUACGAUCCAGGUAUCACCAAUUAAAAAUCAGGGAGCAGGAUGUUCCGAAAAUAGCUUUUAGAACCCGAUAUGGGAACUUUGAAUUUUUGGUGAUGUCUUUAUGGCUAACGAAUGCCCCGUCGGCAUUCACGGAUCUUAUAAACCGAGUAUUCAAGUAUUUUCUCGACUCUUUAGUGAUAGUGUUUAUUGACGAUAUACUUGUAUAUUCAUGCAAUCGAGAGGACCAUGCCGAUCAUCUCAGGGUAGUUUCGCAAACCCUAUAUCAGCACAAGUUAUAUGCAAAGUUUUCAAAGUAUGAAUUUUGGCUUGAAUCUAUCACAUUCUUGGGUCAUGUCUUCUCUAGUGAAGGAAUUAAGGUUGAUCCUCAGAAAAUAGCAGCUGUGAAGAAUUGGCCGAGGCCUACAACUCUAAUAGAGAUUCGCAGUUUCUUAGUCUUAGCUGGGUAUUACAGAAAGUUUGUGGAGGGGUUCUCUACUCUUGCCUCUUCGUUGACUAAAUUGAUGCAGAAGACGGUUAAUUUCCAAUGGUCAAAUGCUUGUGAAAGGAGCUUUCAGGAGUUGAAAUUGAGAUUGACUAUUGUACCAGUGUUGACCCUACCAGAGGGUACAAAUGGGUUUGUAGUAUAUUGUGAUGCUUCGAGAAUCGGACUUGGGUGUGUAUUAAUGCAACAUGGCAAGGUGAUAGCUUAUGCUUCUAGGCAACUCAAGAAUCAUGAAAAGAACCAUCCAACACAUGAUUUAGAACUUGCGGCGGUGGUGUUUGCAUUGAAAAUUUGGCGUCAUUAUUUAUUUGGUGUCCAUGUGGAUAUAUUCACGGACCAUAAAAGCCUUCAAUAUAUUUUCAAGCAGAAGGAAUUGAAUCUGAGGUAGAGAAUAUGGCUUGAGUUACUCAAGGACUAUGGCAUUGAUAUUAUAUAUCAUCCAGGGAAGGCUAAUGUUGUAGCGGAUUCUCUUAGCCGGAAAUCUAUGGGUAGUUUAGCACACUUGGAGGCAUAUCAAAGGCCAUUGGCCAAGGAAGUUCGCCGAUUGGCUAGUUUGGGAGUUCGUCUUGUGGACUCUAGUGAAGGAGCGAUGAUUGUGCAAAAUAGGGCUGAAUUAUCACUUGUUGUGGAAGUUAAGGAGAAGCAAUACAACGAUCCAUUGUUGGCACAAUUGAAAGAGGGGAUUCAUAAACAUAAAACCAUGGCCUUUUCUCUUGGCAUGGGUGAUGGUACACUAAGGUACCAAGGGUGUCUAUGUGUUCCAAAUGUAGAUGGUCUUCGGGAGAGAAUCAUGACCGAGGCUCACACCUCUAGGUAUUCUGUGUACCCGGGCUCUACAAAAAUGUAUCAUGAUCUUAAGGAAGUCUAUUGGUGUAAUGAUAUGAAGAGGAAUGUAGCGGACUUUGUGGCGAUAAGCCAAAUUGUCAACAAGUGAAGGCCGAAGAUUAAAGACCAUGUGGGUUGGCACAGAANNNNNNNNNNNNNNNNUACCUCGCACUCCUCGUAAGAUUGACUCGAUUUGGGUGAUUGUGGAUCGACUCACGAAAUUAGCGUACUUCUUACCUGUUACGGCUAACGAUAUAACGGAACAGUAUGCUCAGUUGUAUAUCAAGGAAAUCAUCAAACUGCAUGGCACUCCAGUUUCUAUUAUUUCUGAUCGGUGGGCACAGUUCACGACUAAUUUUAGGAAGAAAUUUCAGCAAGGUCUGGGUAGUCAGGUGAAUCUUAGUACAGCCUUUCACCCGCCGACUGACAGGUAGGCAGAGCGGACUAUUCAGAUGCUUGAGGAUAUGUUUCGUGCUUGUGUUCUUAACUUCAAAGGUAGCUGGAAUGAUCAUUUGCCACUCAUAGAAUUUGCCUACAACAAUAUUUAUCAUGCUAGCAUUUAGAUGGAACCGUUCAAGGCUUUAUAUGGUAGGAGAUGUAGAUAUCCCAUUGGGUGGUUCAAAAUUAGGGAAGCAGAGUUGAUAGGGCCAGACCUCGUGCAUCAGGCUAUGGAAAAAAUUAAAAUCAUUAAGGAGCGGUUGAAGACUACACAGAGUCGUCAGAAGUCAUUCGGAUGUUCGUCGUAGGGAUUUGGAGUUCAAGGAAAAUGAUUGGGUAUUAUUGAAGGUUUCCCACAUGAAGGGUGUAAUGACAUUUGGUGAGGAAGGGAAAUUGAUUCUGGGGUAUGUCGGACAGUACAGAAUCAUUCAAAGGAUUGGUGAGGUGGCAUACAAGCUUGAGCUACCACCUAAGAUAUCAUUAGUGCACCCGGUAUUUCAUGUGUCUAUGUUGAAGAAAGCAGUUGGAGACCUGACAUUCAUUGUUCCGGUUGAGACUAUUGAGGUUAAUGAGGAAUUGACUUAUGAAGAGAUUCCAGUUUCUAUUAUUGAUUGGAAAGUUCAAAAGUUGAGAAAUAAAGAAAUUGCCUCCGUGAAAGUGUUAUGGCGAAACCAGCAGGUUGAAGAGGCCACUUGGGAUGCCGAGGAAGAAAUGAAGAAGAAGUACCCUCAUUUAUUUGAAUAGCCAUGUAUUUAUAAAGUUGUGUUCUAUGAAAAUGCUAAGAGUUACCUUUUAUGAAUUAUGUAUCAACUGUAUAGCUGAUGUUAAAGGUGGUCCUUUUUGGUAGUAUACUGCUCGUGAGGCCACAGUUGGCAUUGUUUUAAUGUUAUGUUGUAUCGUUGGUUCAUGUAUAUGUUGUUAGGACUGGUUUUGGUGAUUCUCUGGCAGGUAGUUAGACCCAAUUGCAGAGGACACUCUGCCAAAAUGUCUGAACAAUUUGGGAGUUUGCCAAAUUUUGGGGCCUUGAGGAAGUUGAAAUGUUGGAAGAACAUCUAAGUUCUAUAUGAAGUCAAGAACGAUUAAAGAUGAUGGUUAAGGUGAAAUGAGGAUAAUAUUAUGCCUAAUAAUGACUUGUAAAACAUUCGAGAAUGAAUGUUCUUAAGUGGGUGAGAAUUUAACACCCCGAAAAAUUACGAAAUGUUUUAAGACUAUUAAGAAGAUUGGCAGGUACUAAUUAUAUUAAUUCGGGUAUGAACAGGACUAAUAAUAUGAAUGAUAUUAAUUGAUCAUGAUAAUAUAUGUAUAAGGUGCAUUAAGAAUGGUUUUUGGUCUAAGAAGAGCCCCAAGGCUAAGUCAAGUUGGAAAUUACACGAUGGGGUAAAGUUUCAAGUGAGUUCGCAUAAGACCUAACUUUAAACGAGCAUAACUCUCACGAUAUGAAGUUUAAUAUUGUUUAUCACCUAUCAGACGAAAGGUCUAUGUAUUUAGUUUCUAAUGCUUCAAACCGUUCGUCAUUUGGAGAUUCCUACAAGACGUUAUGACCUUUUUACUAAAGGGUGACAAAACAGCUACGCUAGUCUUGGUAGCCUACGCACCAUAGCAGUGUAGCCUAUGCACCAUAGCAGCAUAGCCUACGCACCAUUGCGUAGGCAAAUCCAGCAACUUACAAUUGAAGAGGAAUAGAAGUCCACCAUGCGUAGCCUUUGUGCGUAGCCUACGCAGGAGGCUACCCAGCUUCAAGGGUCAUUUUAAGGAGCUGAAAAUGAGGGUUUUGAGAGAGAGUGUGUUAGUUCUUCAUCUUGGAAUGGAUUUCUAGAGAGAAGGAGAAGCUCCUCCACCAUGGAUACACUAACAUAUUAUGGAUCAAAUCCAUAGGAAAUGGGUUGAAGCUUCAAGAACACCAAAAAGAGAAAAAGUGAGAUUUUUCCACCAAGAGGUAAUCCCUUCUCUUGAGCUUCAUAUAUAUGUCAUAUUGGAGUAUGGGUAGAAUGUUUAUGAGUUUUAUUUGAAGUUAUAAUGGGAUAUUGUAUGUACCCUAAGGGUAGUUCUUGAGAAUGCCAUUUUUGGGUAAAGAAGAAGAUGAAUAGUGAUGAAUUGAUAUAAAUACAUAUGUCUUGAGUUUCUAAUGAUUCCAAUAGACUUGAUAACUUAAUUGAUGUACGAAUUUAAUUGGGAAUCACCAUUUGGAUAGGAUACAACACUAGUUCUUGAAAUGGAUGUUCUUGAACCUAGAGUUUGGUUGAGAAGGCAAUGAAUAGUGACUUGAUGAUGUUGGGUAAUUAACAUAGUAUUAUUAAUGACUCCAAAUGAGUAUUAAAUGACAAUAAUUAAAUUGAAUAGGCUAACGGAUGAGCCUACUGGAUAAUUUGGGAUGGUUGAAGGCUUGUUGCCGAAUUGUGAAGCCUAAAUAGAUAUUUAUGAAUCUUUUCAUAUUUAUUUUGAUAUAGUUGGGAUAUCUAAUGGUAGCAACAAACAUUUCAUACCCGUAGAAGACAUCAACCUCAAGCCAUUGUCAAAACCAUCAUAAACUCUUCGAAACCCAUUUGCCUAUAACCAGGCCAUCAUAACUGAAUCCCUCUAAAUCAUCCUAGUCAUACAGACUGCCAAAUCCAAAAGUCUUGCCACAAAAACACCUACAAGGCCCCCGCGAUCGCGAUGAACAAAUUCCAUUAACACUUCCCAAACUCUUCUAGAUAGCCUGUAGUAUAUCAGCCAUUACUUUUUAUACAAAACUUCAAAUGACAAACGGUUUUAUUUACUUAAAAGUAGUAAAAAAGAGCUACAACUUACUUUUUUGGAUCACGUCCAAAUUCUUUAUGGAUUGCAAGAUAUAAGCUUCCAAAUUCAGAACUGUGACAGUAGAAAUUCCUCUAUGCGAUCGCGAGAGAGGCUACCGCGAUCGCGAUUCACAAGGCCCAAACAGCAAUUUGCUCUUCGGGAACGCGAGCCAAAGGUCCACGAUCACGAUUCACACCCAGUAGCCAAAACCCAGCAACUAAAAAUGGCCUAGAAAUGGUCUGAAAUCACCCAGAAACUCACUCGAGCCCCUCGGGACCCCGUCUGAACAUACCAACAAGUCUCAAAACAUAACACAGACCUACUCGAGGCCUCUAAUCACACAUAAUAACAUCAAAACCACGAGUCUCACCUCAAAUAAACUUUAUGAACUUUUGAAUUUUCAACUUCCAAAACUCUUGCCAAACCAUAUCAAAUCAUAUCAGAAUGACCUCAAAAUUUGCAUACAAGUUUCAAAUGACAUAACGAGCCUAUUCCAACUUCCGAAACAAUAAUUCGAAUCUGAUAUCAUCAAAGUCAACUCCCAAUCAAACCUAUGAACUUUCCAAACCAUCAAAUUGCCAACAUUCUCCAAUUAGCGCCUAAAUAUUUUAGAAAUAUCCAAAUGCAAAUCUGGGCAUACAUCCAAAUCCAAAAUCAUAAUCCAGACCUAACGGAACCAUCAAAACUGUAAUUCGGGGUCAAAUACACAAAAGUAAAAUUGGUCAACUAUUCUAACAUAAUGCUUCUAAGAUGAGAACCAUUCAUCCAAAUUAAUCUUUAAUCACCCAAAAAUCAAAAUCGAAGAUACACACAAGUCAUCAUAAGUCAUACGAUUCUACUCAUGAUCUUAAACCACCGAACUUAGUGAAAAUGCUCAAAACGAUCGAUCGGGUCAUUACAGAACGAUAAUCUACAUCAUACAACUUAUUGGAAUCAAAAUAGAAUCAAUAACUAUAAGUAGCCUUCACUUAGACAAUUUGUCAAACACCUUAGAGUACAUAGAACUCUCAAGUUCCUUAUCAAUAGUAGCUUAACAUCACGACCACAUCUUUUGCCCUACUUAUCUUUCUUAUCAUUUUAGCAACACAACCAACCAAAUUCAGUGAAAAAUACAAAUGAAAAUGUGAAGAAUCCCAUGGUCAAAGGAAAACCAUAUAGUACCCAUAUGAGAACACUUAGAGAGGGUUUGGGAGUGUUUUGGAUCUGGAAAUAGUGAAAAAUACGAAUGAAAAUGGGUUGUAGGUGUUCAUAUAUAUAUAUAUAUAUAUAUAUAUAUAUAUAUAUAUGUGAAUAUUUCCACCAUCUAAAGUGGGACUCAUAGGGAGCUUCUUGCAUAAUCUCGUGAAAAUAUGAAUAUAUAUCUGCUACAUAUCUCUCUACUCCGAUAUUGUAUUGAUGAAUAGUUUAAUGCAUUAGAAACUAGUCUCGUAGAGCUUAAUUUUGGUGGGUGGAUCACCCUAUAACUCCAAUUACAUUGAAAGCAAAUCUCACUGAUAUUAUACCCAAAUUUCAGUAAGAUAAAAAAAAACUUAGUAAGAUUAUGAACGUAUCUUGCGACAACUUUUGCAAAAAAUAAUUUUACAACUUACUUGACUUCAAAUCUUAACAUACGAUUAUUGUAAGAUUCAAAUACCUUAUUACAAGACCUUAUUAUCAUACUAAGCACUCUUAUUCUUAUCCCAAAAGUACGGCUAUGGCAAUCCACUUUUUUUAGAGAACUUCAGUGGAAAGAAUUUCUUUGAUUUGUAUAACCCUGAAUUCUUACAAAACUUACUUAUCACCUCAAUAAACUUCUCUUAACCUUUUGGAGAGAUAUUAAACUCUCUGAGCUUACGUUAGUUAAUUAACGACGCAAUCGACGUCAAAAGUAUGGGGUGUAACACAAUAACUCACUUCAUAAUUAAUAAAAAUUAUUCAAUACAUAAGCAUAUCAAGAGAUUUAACCCAAAAUUUCAUAUUGAAUAUUUCCAUAAACAAAGUUUCAAUACCACCAUGAAUCAGAACUUACAUGAAACCCAAACAUCUUAGGAUAGUCACUGGCAGACACUAGUUCAUGAUCACUCUUCACUGAGUGUUAAGUAGUCUAGGUUAGGCAAUUCAGACUUGAAAAUAAUCUCACAAAGGGUUAUGCUAACAAUGAAUAACAGAAGCAAUCAACUAGAUAAAACAAUGAAGUGAUUUGAUAAUUAAGAAAGGGUCCUAUAUGCAUAGUAUCUACAACAUGAUAUUGAAUAACAAGAAAGAUAGGAAUUUUAACUAUAUUAUCAAAUAACUUAGAUCAACAAUACUCAAUCAAUAGGCCAGGCAGUGUUGCCUCAUUUUAUUAAGGUAUUAUAGACAUGGUUUCCAUAAACAUAAACAAUCAGUAUGAUAAAGAAACAGCAUGCAUGGUUUUAUAAAACAAAAUACAAUUACUAAACAUGUUAGGGGCAGGUAUUCAAGUUUUAUCACAUGUUCUAUAUUCAAGUUAAUAUGAUGAACAUAUACUACUUGCUAACAAGACUUCAAUCUGUCCGGUAUGCUAACAUGAUAGGUCACACGUACUUUCAAUGAAAGACACCAAUUAUCCAAGUAAUAUGGUGUAAGAACCUAAAUGACUAACAACAAAGAACCAGUGUCCAAGCAAAACAUAAACAUAGCAAAUAAGAUUUAAUGGUCACCAAGAGACAUUUGUUGACUAAACAAAACAACAUAAGGGACAAACAUAGCUGAUAAUAGGGGAUAUUAAUUAGUUAAGUAAACAUCAACAUGAGCAUCAAACCACAAUUGAGGGACAUAUGCUGACUAACAGAAUAACAUGAGAGACAGUAGACACACGAUUAAGAGCGAAACAUUCAAUAACUAAGAAGAACCACUAUGCGAAAGCAAUAAACAAAUCUGACUUAUUAAGGUAGAAUCGGGGAUUUACUAACCUUUUUAGGGGCAGCAAACGAGGUAGUUACUAUCAGCCAUUAAGAACCAAUGCUCACAGCCAACUCCAAGCAGUUAAACUCGAACAGAAACGAAAGAGAAAAAAGUAACUUGGACAAACAAACUUAAAGAUUUAAAGAGAAUUCAAGUGUAUUUACUAUCAUUCGAUUAUAUUUUAGUGUGCUGGUGAGGGCAUUAAAGCCCGAUAUUAUUGCCAAGAUUGGAGAUUUAGGGUUUUCAUUUGAAUUUUGAAAUUCAGUUGAAGACAUAGGAUGAUGAUGAAUAUUGAUGAGAUCGUAUGAUGAAAUCAAAGUAAAAAAAUGAGAACUCAGAAAGGGAAACUAGGGUAAGGAUUUUACCUAUCCAAAGAUGACGACCAGACUAGCCAUUUGAGGCCAACGGACCGUGGGACAAAAACAUUGCCCAGAGGUCCCUGCAUUUUACCUCUCGGCCAUCAACCGUCAUGAAGAGGUCACGAUUCUUUCGAAUAUGUGGCUGCAUGCGACACUUUAAUGGUUAUAUGAACAAACUAACAUGGUGAUCAUGAGAUUCUUUGUUUUUUAAAUUUAGGGGUAGGGUUUCAAUGAGUUGAGGCUUGGAAAUGAGAGAUGGAAAUGGAAGUUUUAGCUAGAUUUUGAGUUUAUAAGGGAGAUUAUUGGAGCUAUAGUUGUCUUCCAAUGCUCUAGCAUUGAUUUGUGUUAGUUUCGUGAAUCUUCAUAGGGAAAAGGACGAGGGAAAUAAUGAGAUAAAGGGGAAACUAGGGCGGCUGGUGAGGCUGGAAUGAAUUAGGGU
rnacentral:lncRNA from 1 species